AGUGAACGCUGGCGGUAGACCUAACACAUGCAAGUCGAACGGCAGCACAGUAAGAGCUUGCUCUUACGGGUGGCGAGUGGCGGACGGGUGAGGAGUACAUCGGAAUCUACUUUUUCGUGGGGGAUAACGUAGGGAAACUUACGCUAAUACCGCAUACGACCUACGGGUGAAAGCAGGGGAUCUUCGGACCUUGCGCGAUUGAAUGAGCCGAUGUCGGAUUAGCUAGUUGGCGGGGUAAAGGCCCACCAAGGCGACGAUCCGUAGCUGGUCUGAGAGGAUGAUCAGCCACACUGGAACUGAGACACGGUCCAGACUCCUACGGGAGGCAGCAGUGGGGAAUAUUGGACAAUGGGCGCAAGCCUGAUCCAGCCAUACCGCGUGGGUGAAGAAGGCCUUCGGGUUGUAAAGCCCUUUUGUUGGGAAAGAAAAGCAGCAGGUUAAUACCCCGCUGUUCUGACGGUACCCAAAGAAUAAGCACCGGCUAACUUCGUG
rnacentral:rRNA from 1 species